rnacentral:rRNA from 14 species
AAGAAAUCAAUGGUAUCAAGUGGAUAACUUUAGGAUAGAAAGAGAGGCGUAAUAAAAUCGAAAAAAUUAAUUUGUCAAGAAUAUAGCAGAAUAAUAGUCCCUCAAGAGAAAACUUACGGAAUUAGUUAACUAAAUUUCGUUCUUUUAGGCAACUUCUCAAAGUUAUAUGGCCUAUUAGAAAUCAAGUGAACUGAAUCAUCUUAGUAGCUAGAUAAAAAUCAAAAGAGAAAAAGAGAGUAACGGCGAGUGAAAUCUUUUCUGUAAAAAGCUUAUUCUUUUACUAACAUAACAGGCGAUAAAGGGUAACGUACAUGUACUUAGCCCCGUGAGUGUAAGGUAGAGCUUUAUAAAUUAAUGUGUAAAAAAUUAUGCAAUUAUUGUAGAAUUAACUACAAAACUAAUUAACUUUCUGUCACUUAUAGCGAACUAGUACUGUGAAGGAAAGUUUGAAAUUUGGUAUUUUUAAAGCAGUUUUUAAAAAAGACGUACCUUUUGCAUUAUGAUUCGACCAGUUAAACAAAGUAGCAAGCUUGACACCCUAAAGGGAUAGGCGUAACUAACAUGAAAUAUAGUUACUUUGUAUAGACACGAAACCAAUGUGAUCUAUUCAAAUUCUGGUUGAUCACUUCUUAAUAACAAGUAGGAGGACCUAACUGGUGUUUGUUGCAAAAAACUCAGGUGAAAUUUGAAUAGGAGUGAAAGGCUAAUCAAACUUGGAGAUAGCUUGUUUUCCGCGAAAAUUUUUUAAGAAAAGCGUCUAAAAUAUCUUUUAUAUGGUAAAGCACUAAUUUGGCUGAGGUUGCUUAAUCGCAUGACGAGGUCAUUUUAAACUCUGAAUAUAUAAUAUUGAUUUUUAGAUAGUUAGACUAUGGGUGAAAAAAUCCUUAGUCAAGAGAGAAACAACUCAAAAAUGACUUUUAAGGUUUUAAAAUAAGCUAUAAGUAAAAGGA